AUUGAACGCUGGCGGCAGGCCUAACACAUGCAAGUCGAACGGCAGCACAGAAGAGCUUGCUCUUUGGGUGGCGAGUGGCGGACGGGUGAGUAAUGUCUGGGAAACUGCCCGAUGGAGGGGGAUAACUACUGGAAACGGUAGCUAAUACCGCAUAACGUCGCAAGACCAAAGUGGGGGACCUUCGGGCCUCACACCAUCGGAUGUGCCCAGAUGGGAUUAGCUAGUAGGUGGGGUAAUGGCUCACCUAGGCGACGAUCCCUAGCUGGUCUGAGGGGAGGACCAGCCACACUGGAACUGAGACAAGGUCCAGACUCCUACGGGAGGCAGCAGUGGGGAAUAUUGCACAAUGGGCGCAAGCCUGAUGCAGCCAUGCCGCGUGUAUGAAGAAGGCCUUCGGGUUGUAAAGUACUUUCAGCGGGGAGGAAGGCGGUGAGGUUAAUAACCUUGCCGAUUGACGUUACCCGCAGAAGAAGCACCGGCUAACUCCGUGCCAGCCGCCGCCGUAA
rnacentral:rRNA from 1 species